ensembl:lncRNA
UGUGUGUGUUUUCUAUUUUGGUCUGUUCCAUUAGUUAUUCCGGAGUGCUAGGUGUUUGCAAUAAGGUUUUUGAAGGGAAAUCUGCAUUAUGAGUCAUCGCAAUUCCACAUGAGUAAUUUGAUUCUGUUUAUAUGAACCAAUUAAAUGCAAUUAAAAGCAACCAAAAUAGUCAUUUUCCACCAUGUCACCAGUGUUAAAAUAUAUGAAUGGUCAGACUGCAGAGUGCAAAUUCAUGAAGCCUAUAGGCACAUUAGCAGUUUUUAUUCAUUAGUAUUUAUUUACCAAAAAAUGAGGGUUUGACUUACAUCAGUGUCCAUCAAACACUUUUAUUGGAAGUUUGGUUGUCUCUGUGCAGUUUAAUUAUCAUUUCCAUGAUGAGGCCUGUUCCAAACCCUGCCAAACUUUAAUAAAACGUGGCUGAUUGAUUGGGGUUCAGUGCAAAGCACAGCUAAUUAAGGUUGGAUGGAGGAGUGUGUAAUUAGAAGUGUAGCAGUGCAUCCUCCAGUGAAGAUGCGGAAGAUGUAUACAUUCCCUUGAUGUGCUUCCUGAGAGAGUUAUCUCCAAGUCAGUCCAUCCUACCAUCAAGUGACUGAUGUUUUUAUUUAUUUAGACUGCAAAAGCUUACGGCUAAGCACUGUUUGCGCUCGCUAUCUUAAUUGCUAUGGAAAUUAAUGUAAAACGGCACUAGAGUCAAUCAAGUGGAGAGUUUCAGUUUAAGAUUGCAGAGAAUGGACUGAUCAUUAAAAAAAAAAAGUUGUUGGCAAUAUAACUCUUAUGAUAUGCUCCGGAACAGGAUUGCUCAAUCAUGCUCCUGGAAAUCUAGCAUUCUGCAGAGUUCAGUUUCUUCUCUGCUCUGGCACCUGCCUGUAAUUUUCAAGUGAACUAUAAGACCUUGAUUAGUCGGUUCAGGUGUGUUUGAUUAGAGUUGAAACUAAAGUCGACAGAAAUUGUAAAUCCUCAGAAGCAGGACUGAACAUCAUGGUUUUAGAAUCUACAGAAAGUGUCUAACUUUUAAUCGGUGAAGUAAAAUUGGAUGACAACCUUUUGUGAAUUUACA